AUUUAAUUAAUUCCAUAUGAUCUACUUGUUUGAAUUUUCUUCCCUAUAUUAAAAAACCCUCAAAGACAUUUUUAUAUGAAUACAAAAUGUUUAAAAUGAAGAAUUCAUGUGGAUCAUAGAGCAAAUAAUUUUCAUCAAGAUUAUUUAUUCAUAUUUUUAUGGCUAUUCAAGUUUGGGCCCCAAGUUUUUGUGCUUUUUUGAUUCUCAUUCUUGUAACAGGUGGCAUGGGAGAUACGAACUUGGGUCCCACACAGAUGAGCAAUAUUAUGGAUGGUGAAAAUCCAGAAUUAUCAGAUGAAUUGAUCAACAUUAGUUAUGACUAUCACUAUCAAUGUCAAGCAAAUUUGGGUCCAUGCAACUAUGAAUAUUGCAAUGAAGGUUGUUGUACUAGGCAAUGUUAUAAUUAUUAUAAUGGACUUCACCCACGUCCAAUGUGUGAAGAUUGGGGACCUAGGUAUAGGUAUAAAUUAUGUAUUUGUUGGCAUGAUUGUUAUCAAAAACCUUAGACAUCUUAUAUUAUAUAGUACUUAAUUUGGAUAAAUAAAGAUAUAUAAAUAUCCAAGAAUAAGGGACUAGUAAUUUUGAUAUC